rnacentral:hammerhead_ribozyme from 1 species
AUCCGUAUGACGAGUCCCAAACAGGACGAAAUGCGGAUUCCGAAU